rnacentral:rRNA from 1 species
ACUCCUACGGGAGGCAGCAGUGGGGAAUAUUGCACAAUGGGCGCAAGCCUGAUGCAGCCAUGCCGCGUGUGUGAAGAAGGCCUUCGGGUUGUAAAGCACUUUCAGUCGUGAGGAAGGUGGUAGUGUUAAUAGCACUAUCAUUUGACGUUAGCGACAGAAGAAGCACCGGCUAACUCCGUGCCAGCAGCCGCGGUAAUACGGAGGGUGCGAGCGUUAAUCGGAAUUACUGGGCGUAAAGCGCAUGCAGGUGGUUUGUUAAGUCAGAUGUGAAAGCCCGGGGCUCAACCUCGGAAUAGCAUUUGAAACUGGCAGACUAGAGUACUGUAGAGGGGGUAGAAUUUCAGGUGUAGCGGUGAAAUGCGUAGAGAUCUGAAGGAAUACCGGUGGCGAAGGCGGCCCCCUGGACAGAUACUGACACUCAGAUGCGAAAGCGUGGGGAGCAAACAGGAUUAGAUACCCUGGUAGGAUAGCG